rnacentral:rRNA from 1 species
CCCUAGGAACGGCGAGUGAAGCGGGAAAAGCUCAAAUUUAAAAUCUGGCGGUCUUCGGCCGUCCGAGUUGUAUUCUGGAGAAGUGCUUUCUGGACCGUGUAUAAGUCUCUUGGAACAGAGCGUCACAGAGGGUGAGAAUCCCGUCUUUGACACGGACUACCAGUGCUUUGUGAUGCGCUCUCAAAGAGUCGAGUUGUUUGGGAAUGCAGCUCAAAAUGGGUGGUA